AAGCGGCUGUCCUGACUGCGUGCUUGCACGUAAGGAUGCACAGACAUUUGGCAACCGGGCCGAAAUGAGUGAGAAGGCCGAUAGGCCGGAUCACGAAUUUUGGCGGCGAUUGCGGGAGUACCUAAGGUACGGAGCGAUCGGCUU
rnacentral:sRNA from 1 species